rnacentral:lncRNA from 1 species
AGGGAACCAGGAGAAGGGUUCCGGAGCGCCCGCAUCCCUCCCUAGCUGCUAGUACUAAUUAAGUAUGCGGCUGCUAUUGUUAUCUUCGCUCACAGCUUCGACACAGGUUUCUGCCUGAAGCGGCCAGGGGUCGGGCUCUGAAUGUUGAAUUUUCCUAAAAAUCUAUUUCAAUGCCAUUUUAGCAAUAACCGUGCGUUGGAGAUUUUCGGCCCACUGUGCUCGGUCAGGACAACGCGGGCAUAUUCCGGGCUCUCACAGCCAGGUCUGCGGGGAGGCGAUGCUCCUGGGCCAGCUCAACCCUCAGUAUGUAACAGCCUGUGCGCUGGCGGAUGAGGACCCGGCGGUGCAUGUAAGCUCGGGCGAGCACCCGCGUGCCAUCUCUGCCUUUCAACCUCCGAGAAAUCCAGUGGAGGGCAGACUGAGCCUUCUGUUAGGAUUUCGGCCACUAGGUGGCAGCAUUGCUCCGAAAUGCGCGGCGGGGCUGCGGAGAGUGUGGCCAAGUGAGUUUCUGGGGUGAUGACUUCAGUGUGGCCGACUACAGAAACGAGGACGCUGCAGAAGUGGGGUGUCUGGAGAUUUAAUCUUACGGGGUACGCAGCGUUGAAAUCAUGCUGUCCUGAGUUCUGAGCAAUUUUCGUCUCCCUUGACAUCGCAAGCUCCCUUCCGAGAGUGAUUUUUUUGGUGGUGCAUUGUUCCUGUGUCCGGUUCCUUAAUUGCAUGACCAUCAGGAAGGUGAUAUACAGUAUAUUUAAAGAUCUAGCCUUGCUGUAAAUCUCGGGCCUCGUGACGUGGUUUAUAAGGCAAAUUACAAUCUGAUUGGAUCCCUUUAAAGCAAUUAAGAUUGCUCUUUUUGUUGACUUUUUCAGCCACAGUAGACAAUUAUUAAAAAGAAACUGCACGCACAUUACUUUUGAUUAGAAAAAUGAAGGAAUGAUAAAAUAAAAGCCCUGAACGACG